UGUGUGGAGCUAUCUAACAGGGGAGGUGGUGGCUGGCUGGCUCCACUCACCCUCCCAUUGUAAAUUCCAGCUGCAUGCGGUCAUUUCCUGAAACCCAGGCAGGGAGACUUGGCUGCUGUAAAUUUUCUUUAAGAGCUUGCCUGGCCACUGAUCCUCUCCUAUCCUACCCUCACUUCCCUCCUGGGAGACUGAAAAUCCGAGGUUCAAAGAAUGUUAGAGCUUGAAGGAACUUUGGAGAUAAUCAGGAGCCAAGGACAAAAAAGGAGAUGAGCCAAUUCUGUGAAGACAGGAAAAAAUGACAGAUACGCAACCAAGUUAUUUAUACCUUCUGAAUCCAAUUCUCCCUGUGCAACAAGAAAACUGUUUGGUUCUGCACACAUAUAUUGUAUCUAGGAUAUACUAUAACCUAUUCAACAUGUAAAGGACUGCUUGCCAUCUGGGGGAGGGGGUAGAGGGAGGGAGAGGAAAAAUCGGAACAGAAGUGAGUGCAAGGGAUAAUGCUGUAAAAAAUUACCCUGGCAUGGAUUCUGUCAAUAAAAAGUUAUUUAAAAAAAAAUUAAGAAUUCACUAUUUGGUUUUUAAAAAGUCGGGGAAACUGGAAAGCAGGCUGGCAGAAACUAAAUAUAGACUAAUAUCUAUUUACCAAGAUAAGGUCAAAAAUGGAUUUGUGACCUAAAUACAUAGAGAGAUAUCAUAAGCAAAAGAAUAUGGAAUAUAUUUCCUAUUGAACUUGUGGAUAGGAAAAGAAUUUACAAUAAAUAAGAAAUAGAAAGUAUUGUGAAAUGCAAAAUGGAUAAUUUUAAUUACAUUAAAUUAAAAAGGUUUUGCACAAAUAAAAUCAAUAUAGCAAGAUUAGAAUGAAAGCAGAAUAUUGGAGUUGGGAAACAAAUUUUAUAGACAGUUUCUUGGAUAAAGGUUUCAAAUAUAUAGAGAACUUUGUCAUAUUUAUAAGAAUAUAAGUCAUUCUCCCAAAUCAUAAAUUAUCAAAGGAUAUGAACAAACAGUUUUUGGAUGGAGAUAUCAAAGUUAUCUAUAGUCUUAUGAAAAAAUGCUCUAAAUCACUAUUGAGUAGAGAAAUGCACAUUAAAACAACUUUAAGAUAUUUCACAUCUAUCAAAUGAUAGAAGGGAAAAAUGACAAAUGUUGGAGAGUAUGUGGAAAAAUUGGGACACUAAUACACUUUUGAUAAAACUGAAAUGAUCUAAUUAUUUGGGGAAAUAAUCUAGAAUUAUGUCCAAAGAGUUUUUAAAAAAAAGUGUUUAUGCUGUCUUAGCAAUAUCACAAUUAGGCCUGUCUUCCAAAAUGAUUAAGGAAAAAGGAAAAGAAGUUAUAUGUUUGGGACAGCUAGAUGGGUAGAGCACCAGCCCUGAAGUCAGAAGGACCGGAGUUCAAAUCUGACCUCAGUCACUUAACACUUCCUGGCUGUGUGACCUUGGGCAAGUCACUUAACCCCAAUUGUCUUAGCAAAAAAGAAAAAAGAAAGAAAGAAAGAAAAAUGAAAAGAAGUUAUAUGCUCUAAAAUAUUCAUAGAAGCCCUCUUUGUGUAGCAAAGAACUGGAAAUUGAGGAUAUGCCCAUCAAUUGGGAAAUAGCUAUACAAAUUAUGGUAUAAGAAAUGAUGAACAGAAUGAUUUUAGAAAAAUGUGAAAAGAUUUGCAUGAAUGAGUAGGACCAAGAAAAUGUUGUAUACAGUAAUAGCAAAAUUGUUUGAAGAAUAACUGACUAAGCUAUUCUGAAUAUUAUAAAUAUUCAAAUCAACCACAAAGGACUAUGAAGGAAGUAUAUACACAUAUACAUACAUACACAUUUAUAUAUGUAUGUAGAAACACAUUUAUACAUAUAUAAUAUGUGAGUGAGAAAUGAUAGCUUUCUCAAGUGGGAAAUGGGGAGAGAGAGAUGGAGAUCAUUUGGAACUUAAAAUGUAAUUUAAAAAUUAAAUUAAUUUUUUUUAAUGUAUGAGUCACAGUCCUCGCUAGAAAGGCGGUGGGGAACAAUGGGAAAUUUGGGGGGAGAAGAGACAAUUUAGAAUAGCUGCCAUGGUGAAUGGGAUAAGAAACCAAUUGGUAGAUGCAGACAGAUGUACAAAUAUAGAAGUUUAAAAAAAAAAAAAAAAAGGAUAGUGAGAAAAUAUAACCGGCAAUAGGACAAAGGUUUUAAAAGCAACAGACAAGGGAAAAUUUGAAAUAAUUCAUCAAGGUAUCAAGAUUAGGAAAUGUAGAGUGUAGUCAGAUCAUUUGUUAUGGUCUAAGAUAUUACUGAGGGAUUAGAGGUUAUGAUGAAGAAGAAGAGCAAGUCUAGAAGGGCAAGGAAUAGAAAGACAUGGAAAGGUAAAAGAUAAUGAUGAAAUAAAGGAAAUUUGGAGGUUUUGAACAUGAAAGUGGAACAUUUAAGUGUAAUGUCCAAAUCAGAGGUAAAUCUUAGAAGUGGAAUGAAGGAGUAAGUCCUGAGGACUAAGUAUACUGAGGAACUGAGAAGUUAUUAUCUGAGAGAAUAUCAGCACAUAUGUUAAAAUCUAGAAUGAGGGCAGCAUGUGAAGUGAAAAGGGAAGACUGAGCCAGACACUGAAUUCAAAGAGAAAGGAGUGAGAAUAUGAACAGCAGACGAUGGACACCAGACUCUGGAGUGGGUGAUUGAAUUGCAUGGACUUCAAAGAAAGGGAAGAUUCUGAAUGAUGGCAGGAGAAGAGUCUAAAAAGUAGCAAUAAUGAACAAGGAGUAUUCUAACUCUCCCACCAGGCUGAGUGAAUCAAGAAGGAAUGAGGGGAAGUAGAUCCAGUACUGGAAAAAGUAGCUGGAAAGGUAGUAUUAGUCAGGGGGCUUAAUGAAUACUAGAAAAUAUAAGAAAAUAAGAAAAAAAUAGAGGAUAUGGUUAAAAAGUAAAAAGGAAGUUUGUUAAAUAUGGAAAAGGCAUUCCAGAAAACCCAGUAAAAGAAGUGGACACAGGGGGUGGGAGGAAGGGUUGAGGUUCAUGAGAAUGAAGAAGUGAGGUUGGAAAGAAAGCCUUUGUAUGGGAAGAGUAACGAUGGGAAGGGGAAGACUAUGAAGUCUUCAUAUGAAGGCAGAUAUUAGAAGGUUCAAGAUCAAUUCUCCAAGUUUCCACAUCACUUCUAGCUACCCAACUUGUGAUGUUGCUAUUUCAUAGGUAAUGUUGGAAGCUUACCAGUUUUGUUUCUGGCCAAGAGGGUGCUGUGUUCUGGGCUCAACUCCAAGCCUGAUAGUAUUGAGCAGGUCUGCUUUGUAUUUGGCCAGGUGUUUACAAGCCUAGAAGCCUAGCAAGGAGGUCAAAAAUGAGUCUGUGUUAACAAUAAGAAAAAUGCAAAUUAAAACAACUUUGAGAUUUUAUGUUAUACUCAUCUGAUUGGCAAAAUUGAUUUAAAAAAAAAGGAAAAACAACAAAUGCUUAAAGGGGCUAUGGGAAAGCAUUAAUAUAUUGGUGGUAGAGCUGUAAACUGGUCUAGCCAUUAUGGAAAGCAAUUUAAAGCUAUACACCAAAAACUAUUAAACCAUGAGUAUCCUUUGACCCAGCAAUAUUGCUACUACCAUUAAACCUCAAAGAGAUUAAAGAAGGAGGAAAAUAAUGCACUUGUGCAAAAUUAUUUAUAAUGUCUCUAUUUUGGAGGCAAACAAUUGGAAACUGAGGAGUGCCCACCAAAUGAGGGAUAGCUGAACAAGUUAUGGUAUAUGAAUGUGGUAGAAUGUGCUAUAAGGAAUGAUGUGUAUAGUUUUAGAGAAAUCUGUGAAGAUUUGUAUGAACUAAUACAGAGCGAAGUGAACAGAAACAGAAUAAUAAUUUAUAUAAUAACAAUAAUGUUGUAAAGACAAAAACCUUCAAAGACUUGGGAACUCUGAUCAGCAAAAUGACCAAUCACAACGGACUCUUGACAAACCUCCCCUCCUGAUAGAGAGAUGAUAGACCCAAAGUGCAUUAAGAGAUAUUUUUUCUGGACAUAGUUAUUUAGAAAUGUAUUUGUUAUGUAUGUUUUAACAGGAGUUUUGUUUCUCUUGGUUUCUCAAAGUGUAUAUGUGUGUGUAUGUGUGUGUGUGUGUGAGAGAGAGAGAGAGAGAAAGAGAGA